UUUCAGCUGCACAGCUGUUUCGUAGUCUGGAGCUGGACGAUAGGUGGGCAGCAUUGCUUUGAGACGCUCACGCUCAUGUGUGUCCGCAUAACUAAAUAGAAUAUGGCUGCUCCUGAUGCUGUCACUGGAACAAUUAACCUUGCUGUGACCCAUGGUGCAAGUAAUUUUGCAAAUGGAACUGGAGCUCAACAGCGGAAACAGCCAUCAACCAACACAGAAUCAAGAUGCCGACUCCCAGGAACACAAAAAGCAAAAGAAGGACCUCGAGCUUGACAUAAUUCUGACUUCAUUGAAUUAGUGAACUAUUGUUUUAAUUUGGAGAGUUUAGUGAAUCUGUUCUUAUAAUUUAAUUCCAAAUUGAACUAUUAUCCAUUUGAAAGAAAUCAGUUCAUGUUUUUAUAUACAAAGUGCUUCUGCAAAUGGAACUGGAGCUCAACAGCGGAAACAGAUUAGUACAGCUGGAAUAUGCCCAAGAUGCCCACUUCAAGGAAUACAAAAGGCAGAAGAAGGACCUCGAGAAGCAGAGGGCGCUGAUCUCAAGGAUAAGCAGUACAGCAGCCGCUUGUGAGCGUACGAUUCUAUAGUUUAUUAUAUAUAGUAGCAUUAAAUCACACUGACUGAAUCAUUGUUAAACAGCAAUAGCUAAUCCCUUGGGAGCUAUUUCAUUUCAUUUCUUCUUUUCUGCUUUAUUGAACUAUUUUCAUUUGAAAAAAUGCUGUUAAUUUUUUUGUAUUUCAUAUAUAUUUUUUAUAUUUAUUUUUGUUUAUAAAAACGUGCACGUACUAUAAUUUAACAAUAACAAGAAGCGUAUUCCUUGGAAUAGGCGUCUUGGGCAUAUUCCACCUAACUUGCGCAGCUGGAAUAUGCCCACAUUUUCAUAUGAAAAAAUUCUGUUAAUUUUUUGUAUUUCAUAUAUAUACUUUUUAUAUUUAAUUUUUUUAUAAAAACGUGCACAUACUAUAAUUUAACAACAACAAGAAGCUUAUUCCUUGCAAUAGGCUUCUUGGGCAUAUUCCACCUAACUUGCGCAGCUGGAAUAUGCCCACAUUUUUAUAUGAAUAAAUUCUGUUAAU